rnacentral:sRNA from 1 species
CGACACAAGAGGUUUUACAGGUAAGGAGAAUCGGUUGUUUUUGCGUCUUAGAAACGGGAAGCCAAUGAUUAUAACUUGUAGGGUUGGAAUGGUUACGGCGGUUGAGGCGAACAAAACCAUCGAAGGAUCAGACCACAUUUUAUUUACCAUUCAUUAAUUAUAAUUUGCAGUAGUCUAAACUAAAAAAAUAGAAAAAAACCGCAGCGUACCAUUUGCGAACCGUUAUUACAUACAAAUAAACUUGGUCUGCAGCGGUUUAUUGUCCACCCAAAAAUAAAAUGGACUAAACGACUGACAAAUUAGACCGUUUUGUCCGCUACAUCUAUUCUAAACCAUAGUAACUAUAGUUCUUUCCAUGUAGAAGGAAGGAGGAAAAGAUAGUUUCU